rnacentral:lncRNA from 1 species
GAACCUGAGUGAAUCCCAGAACAGGAGCUAAGUCAUCCUGGCCACACAAACACAUUCAAGAUUGUGAAGAGUAGCACCCUAAAAGAAAAUGAAAAGUGCAGUUCCACAGAUAAUAAAGCUG